GUGCUUGCUUCAGUGGCACAUCUACUAAAAUUGGAACGAUACAGAGAAGAUUAGUGUGGCCCCUGCGCAUGGAUGACAGGCAAAUUCGUGAAGCAUUCCGUAUCUUC